AGAUAUGUUCUUAAAAUUUAAAAAAUUUGGCGGUAUUUUAAUCUAUUUAGAGGAACUUGUUUUAUAAUUGAUAAUCCUCAUUUUAUCUAACUUAAUUUAGUUUAAUUUGUAUAUCGUUGUCAUAAGAAAAUCUUAUAAAAGUAUAAAAAAUUUUCUUUAAAAAUAAAUUUUUUAAAUGUCAGAUCAAGGUGCAGUUUAUAAUUAAGAAAAAAUGAGUUACAAUUAAUUUUAAUAAUUUAUGAAUUAUUAAUUGGAAUAUUAAUAUGAAGGUGGAUUUAAAAGUAAAUUUUAUUAGAGAGUAAAAUUGAUUUAAGUUCUAAAAUAUGU
rnacentral:rRNA from 1 species